rnacentral:rRNA from 1 species
AGAACGAACGCUGGCGGCAUGCCUAACACAUGCAAGUCGAACGCUCUUGGGGCUUCGGUUCCAAGGGAGUGGCGCACGGGUGAGUAGCGCGUGGGAACCUGCCCUGGAGUGGGGGAUAACCGAGGGAAACUUCGGCUAAUACCGCAUGCGCCCGGGAAACCGGGGAAAGAUUUAUCGCUCUAGGAGGGGCCCGCGUCGGAUUAGCUAGUUGGUUGGGUAACGGCCUACCAAGGCUUUGAUCCGUAGCUGGUCUGAGAGGAUGAUCAGCCACACUGGGACUGAGACACGGCCCAGACUCCUACGGGAGGCAGCAGUGGGGAAUAUUGGACAAUGGGCGCAAGCCUGAUCCAGCAAUGCCGCGUGAGUGAUGAAGGCCUUCGGGUUGUAAAGCUCUUUCGCGACGCGAGGACGAUGACGCUAGCGUGAGAAGAAGCCCGGCUAACUUCGCGCCAGCGCCGC